UCAGGGACUCUUGUAAAAACAAUUGGGAAAGAAUCUGAUUUUACUCCAAUCUGCACAAAUGAAACGUCAAAUAUCAUCAUAAUGAUCAUAUGUAAGAUCAGAACAGAGAGGAACAAUGGAGAGCAGUGCAGUCUGCUGUAUAAGGAUGGAGAAGGCUUUGUUCAUGAAUGUGACUCCAGGUUCUCACUGAAAACCAGGAAUCAAACUGUGUUUCUGCACCUGACCAGUUUAACAGCAGCUGAUAGUGGGAACUACUCCUGUGAGUGUUCUAAUCUURAUGGAACAUUUAUUUUCCAUCUCAGCAUCACAGUCAAUGACUCAAAUCCCGAUGAGAAUCUAUUAGAUGAAGUUAGGAGCCAAUCUACAGGAGUGACUCUUCCUUCUGCUUUGACUGCUGCAGGUUCCUUAGUUAUCAUAGUUUCAGUUAUUCUGGGAUUUAUUCACAGAAGACGUCAACAUCGCGCCUGUUUAAGAUCUGAAACAUCCGGAUCGUCUGUACACGGACAAGCUGCUGCUGCAG